rnacentral:lncRNA from 1 species
GGGAGGGCAGGCUGGAGCAGGCGCGGGCCCUCGGGGUCCGGGGCUCAGCGGGGCGUAGACGGACAGAGGGUUGCCCGGGGCUGGCUCUGCGGCCAGGGGCAGGUGGGCAGCACGGUCCGUGGACGCGGCUCCAGUCCCGCGGUGCGCAGGAAGGAGGGAUGGGUGGACGAAGCAGCAGUGUGAAGCUCGGAAGGUAUAACUACCUCUUCUCUGCUGUUUGGACAUGGAUGUUCCCCUCUGUACUGCUUAGAGAGUUAGAGAAGUGUGAACAGCAUGGACAACCAUCCUAGUUUGACUAGGACUAUCCUGAUUUGAUCUCAAAAAGAUCCAUGUUCCAUCACAAUGUCUUGGAGAGCCCUAGUGCCUGGACAACUGGAAAGGUGAGUCAACCAGGAGCAAGUAUGCAGAGCACCACCUGUUUUACCCAGUGGCAUAUUAUGACAAGAAAUAUCCUGAUAUGGGAAAUAUAAGCUUACUAGGAAAAUACUAGGAGGUGAUAAAUCAUGUUAUAAAAUGACCACCUAGACUAGAUUCCCUAGACCACAGUUAUCCUCACCUCCUUGGAGGUAGGAGAAGAUCUUUGUAGGCUGCAAAAAAU